CCUACGGGGGGCAGCAGUAGGGAAUCUUCCGCAAUGGACGAAAGUCUGACGGAGCAACGCCGCGUGAGCGAAGAAGGUCUUCGGAUCGUAAAGCUCUGUUGUUAGGGAAGAACAAGUACGGGAGGAAAUGACCGUACCUUGACGGUACCUGACGAGGAAGCCACGGCUAACUACGUGCCAGCAGCCGCGGUAAUACGUAGGUGGCAAGCUUUGUCCGGAAUUAUUGGGCGUAAAGCGCGCGCAGGCGGUGUUUUAGGUCUGGUGGAAAAUCUUGCGGCUCAACGGCAGGCGGUCAUGGGAAACGAGGGGCCUGGAGGCCUAAAAAGGAAGAGGGAUUGCGACGUGUAGCGGUGAAAGGGGAAAGGAGUAGAAGGAACACAAGGGACAAAGGGGUCUUCAGGGUUAAUAACUAACACUGAGGGGCGAAAGCGUGGGAGCAAACAGGAUUAGAUACUCCAGUAGUC
rnacentral:rRNA from 1 species